GGCGCUGUGGCUUAGUUGGUUAAAGCGCCUGUCUUGUAAACAGGAGAUCCUGAGCUCGAAUCUUAGCAGUGCCU
rnacentral:tRNA from 1 species